rnacentral:rRNA from 1 species
AUGGAGGCGCCGCUCCCCACACCGGGCGAAGAUGCAGGAAGCGCGGAGGCUCGCCGCUCAGACAUGGUAGGCGUCGGCCCAGUUCUUGGCGCGGCGGAGGUCGUCGUCGCCAUCGUCGUCCUCGGCGUCGUCGAGGCGCAGGGAGAAGGCGAGCGCGAGGGCGGCCCACUCGAGGACGAAGAUGGCGGUGCCGAGCCCGCCGACCAUCUUGAGGAUGACGGCGCCGUCGUCGUCGCGGACGUAGGACUGGAGCUCGGCGAGGAAGUCGGCGGUGCGGGUGAAUGCGAGCAGCGCGACGGCGCCCUGGAAGAUAGCGGUGAGCGCGGCGCCCGCCGUGUGCGCGGUGUGCCAGGGCGCCGGGUUGGCCGGGCCGGCCGUGAAGGAGCCGGAGCAGCCCGCGGCGGAGAAGACGGCGGUGAGCGCGUGGAGGAAGACGAGGAGCAGGCCGCACGGGGACGGCAGGAGGCGGAGGGAGAGGGUGAGGAAGAUGCAGCUGGAGGCCGCGCCCAGCAGCGCGUAGUUGCAGAGGAGGAACGCCUUGUGCGUGUGCACCUUGCCGGACGCCAUCGCAGCCGGGGACGGUCGGGAGUUGCCGCGUGCUCGGAUCGAGGGAGACUUGCUUGCUUGGUGGGCUUGAUCGGGAGUGGGGAUGAGGAGUGA